UACGUAGGGUCCAAGCGUUAAUCGGAAUUACUGGGCGUAAAGCGUGCGCAGGCGGUUGUGUAAGCCAGAUGUGAAAUCCCCGGGCUUAACCUGGGAAUGGCAUUUGGGACUGCACGGCUAGAGUACGGCAGAGGAGACUAGAAUUCCUGGUGUAGCAGUGAAAUGCGUAGAUAUCAGGAGGAAUACCGAUGGCGAAGGCAGGUCUCUGGGUCGAUACUGACGCUCAUGCACGAAAGCGUGGGGGGCAAACGGG
rnacentral:rRNA from 1 species